CAUCCUUAUUCCGGACAGUCAUGUACCAAACUAAAGAUCCUAUUACCGUGGAUGAAGGGUAGAAAAGAUUUUGGGGGACAGCUAUCAGCACCUGUCAUACUCAUACAAUAUCCCUUUCCACUUCAUUCUAGUACAUUAGAGAUGGGAAGCACUUGCAGCUGGCAUUCCAAAUGUGGUUUAGGAACUGCCAAUUAAAUGAACUUAAAUGAGACUUGAUCCUGGAACUCAGAUGGGGAGAGGCAGCAGACAGGCGGUAUCCUACAGCCUAUGAUACAGGUGGGGAUCCAAACCACAUUAACUGAGUGGAUGGAGCCACGUGAACACCGGGAUGAGGGAACCGCUGCAGAAGAGCCUCCAGGAGCCUAUCCGGAUAAGCUGACUUACCCUGCAGGCCUCCACCUGGAACAGACUCUGAGGAUGGUGUUAUGGUGGCCGUGUUCUCACUCGUGAACCAAUUUCCUGCAUUGUUACUUCUGUCUGACCUGUCAUUUGCUAUCCUCUUGUGAGUCUGUGACCACUGAAAUCUGA